GGGUGAGUAUGCAUGCACCUAAUAAUUAUAAAAAACCUAUUAUAAUUAAAAAGUGCAUUUUCUGAAGAAACUGCAGUGUGAAUGCUUGAAUCUGAAUGUAUGCACUGAAAUGAAUUAAUUGCUGAAUUUUGAGUUAAAAAUAUUGAAUGAGAUUAAAAAAAAAACAAAAAAAAAAAAAAUGAAUUUAACCUGAAAACAAAAGUGCUGAACUGCUAAAAGCUGAAGGUUACACAGAAGAAGGAGUUGGAAAAAAACUGAAAAUGUUUUAAAUGUAAAUUAGAAAACCCUAAGAAAUGAGAAAAGAACAUUUAGAGUCAGAAAACAUCUGAAUGAAUAUUAAAAGGUCAUAUUCUUUGAAUCACUGAAUGACUCAAAUGUGAUCCCUCCACUUGGACCCACACAGUUUAAAAAGUUUACAUCUCUGAGCUUUGAAAGACAAGAUGUUGGAAAAAGAACAACGAUGGCGACGUUUUGAGGGUAAAAUGAUGGCUUUAACACUGUGGACACAGCAGCAGUUGAAAGAGAAGUGUUUAAGAUUAAUUUUGGCAGAGUGAGAGAGAGAGCUCGUUAAGCAGGCAGGUGUGAGCCUGGUUGCUAUAGUGACCGCACCCAAUGGCUCCAUACACACGUACACAGACAUGCGCCUCACUUUUGCUGCUUAAAAUGAACAGAAAAGUCAGGCCGAAACAAAUCGUUCCCAAAUGAAAAGUAAAAGUCGUAUUGACGAAAUUCUUUCACCGUGAGCGACAGCAAUGUCUAGUCUACCUAAUUCUCAGUUUUCAUGCCUGUGGAGCUUAUUAUAUGGACGUGGUGACAGUGGAAAGGCAACAUGCUCUUCUGAUUUUCAAACGAACCUUCUGAGCCAUUUUAACAUUAGAGUCUAUGGAAGAGUUGGAGGGAGGAGGCUGUGCAUUGGUGGCAUUUAUGAAAGAACCAUAACACCUAGGACAAUAGUAAACACAUUGGAUGAAAGAGGACAGCCAUGGCUACGUUUUGAGGGUAAAAUCAUACCUGUAGAGCAAACGCUGCGGACACAGCAGCAGUUUUAAAAAAGAUUUUAAGAUUAAUUUUUUUGCUCCUCUCACUCUAGCAGUUGAGCUGCCUCACUCUAGC
ensembl:lncRNA